UACGGAGGGGGCCAGCGUUGCUCGGAAUUACUGGGCGUAAAGGGCGCGUAGGCGGCCUUCUAAGUCGGACGUGAAAUCCCUCGGCUUAACCGAGGAACUGCGUCCGAUACUGAAAGGCUUGAAUCCGGGAGAGGGAUGUGGAAUUCCAGGUGUAGCGGUGAAAUGCGUAGAUAUCUGGAGGAACACCGGUGGCGAAGGCGGCAUCCUGGACCGGUAUUGACGCUGAGGCGCGAAAGCUAGGGGAGCAAACGGG
rnacentral:rRNA from 1 species